rnacentral:lncRNA from 1 species
CGGAGCCUGCGGGAGGCAGGGCGGGGGCCCGUGGCGCGGCCCGCGGGACGGUGGGUGGAGUUGGGCGACCGGGGAAGGGGAGGACCCGACAGGCCAGGUGACAGCAGAGGCAGGAUUGAUUUCACAAAACCUCCAGUUUAAGAAGACGAUCAUGAGCCCAUUCAGGAGGAGCUCAGGGCUUCAAAGGUGUCUGUCGCUCUGUGCCCUGGGAAUGUUGCAGUGGGCUUUUUAGCAUGCCUAAGAAGUCAAGGCUGGAGCGCAGCCCCUUCCUGACAGAGCUCCCUCCUGUGAAAGGUAACAAAAGCCUGGCUGGUGGGAAAACAGAAUGUGUUCUACCUAGGGACUCACAAAGAACCCUGCUUCCAGUGUGCUUGUGUGUGCGCUGAGAGUCAAGGAUGUGUUUCUGCACUUUCUCUUCAGCCUCACCUUCCUGCAGUUCUAAGAAGCAAAUCUGUGAAUUGGCCAGGAUUUUAUGAAUAAGGAAUGUGACAGGCCUUGGAGGUGGUGCCCCAGGCCUAAUUACGCUCUUGUCUUGCCUGACACUUCUGUUUUCAUUUGCUGGCGCUUAGUGCUCCCUUUCAUUGCCUCUGUGAUUUUAUUUUCUUCUUGUCAAGUGGCAUAAAGGGCUUCUUAGUCUUGUAGUUUCAUGGAAACUUGCCUGGCUUGCCUGGGUGGAAGGAGACCAAGAUUCCGAUUCAGCCGUGAUUUGGAGGCUCCGACCCUUUGGGAGGAAAACAGAGGCAAGCUGCCAGUUCAGCCAAAGAAGCAUAGAGGGAAGCCAUUCUUUCCUUCCCUAUAUUCAUAUUAUACAAGAUGCCUCCUCUGA